AGAGUUUGAUCCUGGCUCAGGAUGAACGCUAGCUACAGGCUUAACACAUGCAAGUCGAGGGGCAGCAUGGUCUUAGCUUGCUAAGGCCGAUGGCGACCGGCGCACGGGUGAGUAACACGUAUCCAACCUGCCGUCUACUCUUGGACAGCCUUCUGAAAGGAAGAUUAAUACAAGAUGGCAUCAUGAGUCCGCAUGUUCACAUGAUUAAAGGUAUUCCGGUAGACGAUGGGGAUGCGUUCCAUUAGAUAGUAGGCGGGGUAACGGCCCACCUAGUCUUCGAUGGAUAGGGGUUCUGAGAGGAAGGUCCCCCACAUUGGAACUGAGACACGGUCCAAACUCCUACGGGAGGCAGCAGUGAGGAAUAUUGGUCAAUGGGCGAGAGCCUGAACCAGCCAAGUAGCGUGAAGGAUGACUGCCCUAUGGGUUGUAAACUUCUUUUAUAAAGGAAUAAAGUCGGGUAUGGAUACCCGUUUGCAUGUACUUUAUGAAUAAGGAUCGGCUAACUCCGUGCCAGCAGCCGCGGUAAUACGGAGGAUCCGAGCGUUAUCCGGAUUUAUUGGGUUUAAAGGGAGCGUAGAUGGAUGUUUAAGUCAGUUGUGAAAGUUUGCGGCUCAACCGUAAAAUUGCAGUUGAUACUGGAUAUCUUGAGUGCAGUUGAGGCAGGCGGAAUUCGUGGUGUAGCGGUGAAAUGCUUAGAUAUCACGAAGAACUCCGAUUGCGAAGGCAGCCUGCUAAGCUGCAACUGACAUUGAGGCUCGAAAGUGUGGGUAUCAAACAGGAUUAGAUACCCUGGUAGUCCACACGGUAAACGAUGAAUACUCGCUGUUUGCGAUAUACAGCAAGCGGCCAAGCGAAAGCGUUAAGUAUUCCACCUGGGGAGUACGCCGGCAACGGUGAAACUCAAAGGAAUUGACGGGGGCCCGCACAAGCGGAGGAACAUGUGGUUUAAUUCGAUGAUACGCGAGGAACCUUACCCGGGCUUAAAUUGCAGAUGAAUUACGGUGAAAGCCGUAAGCCGCAAGGCAUCUGUGAAGGUGCUGCAUGGUUGUCGUCAGCUCGUGCCGUGAGGUGUCGGCUUAAGUGCCAUAACGAGCGCAACCCUUGUUGUCAGUUACUAACAGGUUCCGCUGAGGACUCUGACAAGACUGCCAUCGUAAGAUGUGAGGAAGGUGGGGAUGACGUCAAAUCAGCACGGCCCUUACGUCCGGGGCUACACACGUGUUACAAUGGGGGGUACAGAAGGCAGCUACCACGCGAGUGGAUGCCAAUCCCAAAAACCUCUCUCAGUUCGGACUGGAGUCUGCAACCCGACUCCACGAAGCUGGAUUCGCUAGUAAUCGCGCAUCAGCCACGGCGCGGUGAAUACGUUCCCGGGCCUUGUACACACCGCCCGUCAAGCCAUGAAAGCCGGGGGUACCUGAAGUACGUAACCGCAAGGAGCGUCCUAGGGUAAAACUGGUGACUGGGGCUAAGUCGUAACAAGGUAGCCGUACCGGAAGGUGCGGCUG
rnacentral:rRNA from 1 species